GGCUCCGUAGCUCAGUUGGUAGAGCAAUGGAUUGAAAAUCCAUGUGUCGGCGGUUCGAUUCCGUCCGGCGCCA
rnacentral:tRNA from 1 species